rnacentral:rRNA from 1 species
GACGAACGCUGGCGGCGUGCUUAACACAUGCAAGUCGAGCGGUAAGGCCCUUUCGGGGGUACGACGAGCGGCGAACGGGUGAGUAACACGUGGGUGACCUGCCCUCAGCUCUGGGAUAAGCCUGGGAAACUGGGUCUAAUACUGGAUAUGACUCCACGGUGCAUGUCGUGGGGUGGAAAGCCUUGUGCGGCUGAGGAUGGGCCCGCGGCCUAUCAGCUUGUUGGUGGGGUGAGGCCUACCAAGGCGACGACGGGUAGCCGGCCUGAGAGGGCGACCGGCCACACUGGGACGUGAGACACGGCCCAGACUCCUACGGGAGGCAGCAGUGGGGAAUCUUGCGCAAUGGGCGAAAGCCUGACGCAGCGACGCCGCGUGAGGGAUGACGGCCUCGGUGUAA